rnacentral:rRNA from 2 species
UACGGAGGGUGCAAGCGUUGUCCGGAUUUAUUGGGUUUAAAGGGUGCGUAGGCGGCUAUUUAAGUCAGCGGUGAAAGACUCCGGCUCAACCGGAGCAGUGCCAUUGAUACUGGAUAGCUUGAGUGUUGGAGGGGUACAUGGAAUUGAUGGUGUAGCGGUGAAAUGCAUAGAUACCAUCAGGAACACCGAUAGCGAAGGCAUUGUACUGGCCAACAACUGACGCUGAGGCACGAAAGCAUGGGGAGCGAACAGG